AUGGCUCCAAGUAAGAUAUGGAUGAGACUAGUGGAUGAGCGAUUAGAUGAUGAAUACUUAGAAGGGGUAGAGAAUUUCCUUGACUAUGCGUUCAGCCACGCAGGCAGAGAGAAUGAAAUUCGAUGUCCAUGCAUCAAAUGCUGCAACACAUACUCUCAUCCUCGUGCAUUGGUUUCUUCUCACCUGAAAGUGUAUGGAAUUCUGAGAAAUUAUACCUUUUGGUACCAUCAUGGUGAAGUUGCGACGGAACCUCAAACAGUUUCUGAAGGUCAAGGCGAUGAAGAAACGCAAGCAGAGAGUGCAGAUGGAUAUGACCCAAUGCAAGAUUUGUUGCAUGAUCUGUUUCCUCAAAAUAAUAAUCCAACUGAGCAAACAACGACACCACCAUCUAACGAAGAGGACCAAAUACUGAAGCAGCAAAGUUUUAUAAAUUGCUUGACAACUACAACCAGCCACUUUAUGAAGGUUCUAGUACCACUAAAUUAUCUGCACUAG
rnacentral:rRNA from 1 species